AGCCUCUCAUUCGAGCUCGAGAUCUCCUCGUCGCCUCUGUUGGCCGCCAUGGCCGUCGCUCCCCUCCGGCUAAAUUAGCCCGAAGCCGAGCCCUCCUCCACCUCUAGCCACCACCAUCGCCUUGCCCGCACUCCGGCGACCCUCCUCGUGCCCUUGCCCCCUCGCCGGAGCCUCUCUAGGGCCGUGCCCAGAAAACCACCGCCGCCUCUGCUCCUUUCUGUCGCGUCAUCGGGCGCCCAUGUAGCUCUUCCUUCGGCGCCAUUUCUUUCCUGGAUGGAUGCGCCAUGCCCCGCGAGCCCGCCGGUGGUCUCCACUUGGCCGGAGAUCGCCGGAGUCGGCCGCUCCGUCGCGGGCAUCGCCCUGCCUCCCGCUCCACUUUUUCCCAUCGGGGGAGCAGCGAGGAGGAAGACGACGCCCAGCUAGCCCCCUCCCCUGCGUGGGGGCCCCCUCUGUCAGCUGCUCAAGGCCCGGCCCCGCGCUUGCCACUGUGGAUAAGUGGAAUCGUACUCCUGUGAGUACGCUUUCCCUUAUCGAAGGCGUAUUCCAUUUCUACUUCGGGCGAGAAUGCGUUUUCCUCUCUGGAAAAUGUAUUUCAGAAAAGGCGCGCUCUGUUUUUCCUGCUGAGGGCCUGUUUGUGAUGAUUUUAUUACAGAUAGGUCCCUGGCAGAAAAACAAUUGUAUCUUUUCAACCACAACUCCAAAUGAGGUGAAUCCAACGCUCACUUCUUCGUCUCGUCGAUACCGUUCUGUUGGUCACACUUUCUCCAUGUGUUAACAUUCUUAAAAUGCCCUUUUUGCCCUUGCACGUAAACAGCCCCUCCGGGAGAGAACUGUUUCCGGCAAAUCUUUUCGCGGCUUCACCGCACUUCUUCCCGGUGCCUUCUUCACCCCAAGGCAAGCCACAAUACCCACUUGCAUGAUAGUCAUGCAGUAGCCAUGGUUUUCAACUUGAAUAUUUAAGAAAUGUUUGCUUGUUUAAAAUAUGGUUAUCGUUGUUCCGGUGCUGCUUAGAGUUUCAUGUUCACUCUCGUGUUAUGUUGUCUUGCACCUGGUUAUCUUGUACUAGUUGCUAGUAUUCCUUUCAUAUGCUUAUGAUUGCUAGUAGUACAUGUUGAUGUUGGUGAUGGCCUUCGGUGCAUGACUAACGUCUGUUCCGAGCACCGUCGUUAUGCAUGUCCCUUUGCAUCCAGUUGGUUAAAUGAUUGCAUGGUAGCAUUGUUGAUAUGUCUUGCAUGAUAUUUAUUGUUGAUGCUAGUGGUCAUGCUAGGUUUCUAUGAGUAGUGUUGUACUUGUGAUAUUCAUGCUCGUCAUUAUACUAUGCUUAGUUGGAUAUGAUUCAUUGUGGAUAUGGUGGAUAGUUAUGUUGUACCCUCAUGAUUAUGUUGAUAUCAUGUUCAUGUAUUGUAAUUUGUAUCAUGUUAUUUUAUCAUGGCUCAGCAUAUUGCAUUCAAUUUUAACCGGAUUAAAUUGAACUUGAACACCUGUUGCCUGAGUCAUGGUGCCACCAUAUCGAUGCUGACCAGUGCAACCACGCUUACCUUUAUGGGAAGGUCCUAACUGGGUCUAUUGUCGUGCCUCUCGCCGGUGCCUCCGACGAGGGAAGGUUAUGGGCGUGCGGUACCCUGGCCCGGUAAGCAGACAUAACCUUGUGUGCCCGUAGAUGGAUGAUAAGCGCUUUUGUCCCUGUUUGGGACGGGCCACGACUGUGGUCGUUGUGCCUUUGGUAGGCACGGGGCCACCCAGGACUUAGCCCAAAAGGGAGUUGGUCGGAGUGGCCGGGAGAGUGUCAUGGCAGUAGAUCAGUUUUGUCGGAACGCCGUUGGUCCACCCGAAUGGGAGUGUGUGGCCAUGGGUUCCGUGGUGUGGGUAUAGUGUACUAACCUCUGCAGAGUGUAUAUUAAAUCUAUCGAUAGCCGCGCCUGCGGAUAAGGGCCCAGUUCGUGUCGGUCACACUGUGAGUCAACAGUAUUAAUAAUAAUGUGUUCAAUAACAACCCCAGUUUGAUGAGGAGAUAAGUUGGUUGUGAUCGCCGGAGUGAUCACCGUUGAGACAAAGUGUUGGUCAUGGUUGUGAUCGCCGGAAUGAUCACCAUGGUAUCGAGGAUACCGAGUUGAUGGAUAUUCGUGAUGUUGUGUGAAAAUCAUGGGUAAAGAUCAAGCUCCUUGUGGUCAUUUAAUGAUUACUACGGUAUUGUUUAUACCAAGUUUGAUAUUAUCCUGAGAUGAUCGUGUGAUGUCCGAGGUUGGUAAGUGAUGCAUGUGAUGGUUACGAGGUAGCCCGAGCAAAAUAAAUGGUGCAUAUAGUGUCAUCAUGUUGCAUGCUAGUAUCAUCAGAUUUAUAUUCUCAUAUUGUUCUAGCUGUAUCAUAUUGUUGAUGCCAUGUUAUCCUGAUGACUUCAUGAUAAUUCAUGCUUGACCUGUAAUUGCCAUGCUGUUGUUUUUCUUGAAUGCUUCUGGUUAUUGUGAGCUUGCAAGUACGUUCAAUGUACUGACCUGGCGUGUCAUGCCAGUUUGCAUGUCGUGCCUGGAUUGCUUGCUUGUUUGGUGUUGUUCCUGUGUUCGGGAGCUACGAUAAGCGUUCCAGCCAGAGUCCCUGCGGAUUGGAGUCCAUCAUCGUUGUUCGUUGUUCCACUGCCAGUAGUUGUUCCGCUGCUUCGAGUUGCUAUGCUGCUUGUAUAGAGCAAGCGUGGUUGGCAUAGUGUCGCCGUGCCGAUGUUAUUCACUGUAAUAUCGGAGACCUUGUAUUCAUAUUCGUGUUGUAAUAGAAAGCUGGUUUGUUCUAUGCUAAGCAGUGCCGUAUUCCAGAAGACUUCUCCUCGAUCUCUGGGCUGGAAUACAGGGCGUUCCUGUUUUCUUUGAGCCCGGGUGCCACAGGCUUUGUAUCAGAGCAGGUCUGGCUGGAGGAUGCCCUAGCCCGCGCGAACGAUAGAAAGCGGUAGUAUAGACCCCAGUUGGUUUGUUGCACUUGAUUGUUGCAUUUGUGUGUUGCAUAGCAUGCAUAUAGAUUAUUAUUUUGUCACUAACGGUUAAUCUUGUGAGUGUAGGUGGCAUCGUUUUCGGUCCACCGCCUGCACCCUCCUUCUUAGCAUGUCUGCUCUUUGGUGUUCGGCAUCAUCUCUGUCCCACCAGAGUGAUGCCCUGGUACCCAGAGUUCCAAACACCAUUUGCAGGAGUUAUGCUCAGGUAUUGCGUAGAUUUUUCCGCCACCCACCCAUAUUAUUUCGGUGAUAGACUUGUUUCUAUCCCGAAUCAUGCCAUCCAUCUCGUCCCUCUGGCUACCCUUACUGAUCUUGGUUAUCAAAAAAGGGCAAUGCCAGCGAGCCUUGUUUUUUCACCGCUACCCUACCCAGUCAUUCUAUUCUUUGGACGUGUACGAAUCCCUUUCGUUCGCUUGAUGAUGGUGUGGUCGUGACUUUUGUGUCUUGCUACUUGAUCGUCAAGUCCGUCCUCACCUGUGUAUCCAUCCAGAUCCAGCUACUAUUCAGCCAGUGCUUGGUGUAGCUUUGGUUACGCCAACUCCUUCCACACAGGGAUAUAAUUUUCGUGCACACCGCCACAUCUUAUUAGACCGUAAUACCGGAGUUUCCGCGCGAUUUGUGUGCUUAGGUGUGCAUGCAUAUUAUGGUGUGAGUAGCAGUAAUAUGUGAUGAUUGCUUGAUUAAUUAUAUUAGUAGUAUGCUUGUGUGCUUUGUUUUAGUCGUUUCUUUUGUUUCUUUCUUUGGGCCUUCGGUGUUACAAUUUUUCCCCCUAUUAAAGUUGCUCGUCAGCCGACACUGGACCCGAAGAGUCAGCAAGAAAUGCAUAUAUUUGGAAACUCCGCUAAAUAGAAUGGAAUAGUCAGCAGACUGCAGUGAAAUUGGAAAUAGCUCGUCUGAAUACAAAAGAAAUCCUGGAUGGAAUGUCAGUAUAAAGUUUGCAUUAACGUGCACUCCUCACAACAGUAUGGAAUUCUCAGCCGACUGCAUUCAGAUAGGGGGAUAUUUGAUCAUGUUACUGGGUGUCAAGUUUCUCUCAGUGUGCACUCCUCAUAGCAGAAAUGAUCAAAUCAGCAAGAAGAUAAAUUGUGUGCAAGGUUGAUAGAAUAUUAUCAAAGGUAUGGCUCAGAUACAAGUUUAAUUUUUCAUUGAGGAUGAUUUUGGAACCCGAUGUACCUGGAAGCAAGCAAAAAUAUGGCAUGUACUCAGAAAGGAGGACAGUCCUGCAAAACCCCGUUUCAUACAAGAAAUCAAUAACAAAAAUAUUAAGAUGGUUAUAUAUGUGGAAAUCGGUCCGCAUAUCACAAUAAGAAGCUUCUGGUGUAAGCAACCCAAUCUUCCCUCGCAAGAUACCCGAGAAGCUUCCAAGGCAAGAUUAAUCUAUCUUCCUCAGUACGAUACAUGGAUGAUUUCCGUACAAGGUACUCUGCCUUCUUCAGUAAGAAACCGCAAAAGCUUCCGGCAUAAGGUACUGAGUCUUUCCCCAGCAAAGUCUUUAAGGGGGUAAGCUUUUGAAGCACGAUACCUAGUCUUCUUCAGCAAGCUGUCCGAUGAAAGUUUCGAGCACAAGCCAGCCAAUCUUCCUCAGUAAGACAUUGGUACAAGGUAGUACGCUGUGAAUUAACAGCAUAUGGCAGUGAAUCCCAAGAAUCAGAUCCACAACAUUUUGGUCAGAAGCAAGAAUCAGUCAGAAUACACGUCUGUCUCGGGAACCAGAUUCUCAUAUAUAUAUAUAUAUAUAUAUAUAUAUAUAUAUAUAUAUAUAUAUAUAUAUAUAUAUAUAUAUAUAUGCGGAGAGCAUACCACCAAGAUCUUACAAGUCACUCGGAUGAGGAUCUGAGAACCACGUGAGGAUGGUUAAGAGAAGAAAGCCAGUAUACACCACAGUGUGACAAAGGAUUAUGAGGAUUGACGACAUCAAUGAGCUCAAUACAAGUACCGGUGAACCUGGAAAAUGAUCCUGAUGAGCCCUUGUCCCCUUUUUCUCCAAUAACGGCACCACGCCUGUGAUCUAAGCUGUUUUUAGCUAUCCAGGGUGGAUGCCGAUUUUUAUUUCUCUCUUCAACGACUGUCAUGAGUUCUGAGCUGCUUUUCGGCCAUCUCAUACAGCUGUUGAGUUUCUUUUUGUGAUAGUAGCCCAAUAGCUGCUUUUUGGCUAUUUUAGGGAGCUGCCACCUUCUUCUUAUCAACCCGGUCUCAUGUUCUGAGCUGCUUUUUGGACGUCCUGAGCCGUGGUUGAGUUAUUUCAGUAAUGUCCCAGAUCUGAGUUGUAAAGACCGUUCUGGUGGCUACUGAUUUAUUUGCCAAUUUCUUGCAAAGGUUCGGAUGAUCAUUUUCCCGCGGUCAGAACUUGAGGGGUGUUGAACCUGCCAUUUAAUGGGGUACCCUAUCAGAAAAAUGAGGAUAAGCUUGGAUUGCGAAAAUUGCACCGACAGUACCUAUGGUGAUACGAAGAAGCAAUAUGACCCAGCUCUUUCAGCCAAGGAUCCAGACCAAGAAAACAAUAAUGAAGGAGCAAGACUAGUGAUGCAGGUAUGAAAAUUGUUGCAAGACCUGCAUGGUGCAGAACCACCGUCAGUCAAGUCUGCAGAUAUUAUCAUACAGGUCCAACUCUUAUGCUAGCCAUGACAGGCGACAAUCAAAUAUUUGGUACGGAUCCGAUACUCAAGACAGUGGAGCUAGCCAAAAUAAUUCAGAAAUUCUCGUGAUAAGUCAGAAUCUGUCAGGAAAACGGUUAUGCCUCCACUCAUUGUUUGGAAUCCGAAGGACCUGUAUUUAGUGGACAAACCCAAUGCAAGGAGUUAGAGCUUGGGUGUCCACUAGAAAAAUCUGAUCACCACUUCAUGAAAGAUUGUCAGUGUCGGCUGACACACCCAGCGGAAAUCACUCUUGGAUUUGUGAGACCAACAUAUAUUUCAGUCGUGAGAAUCAAUCACUGUCAGCUAAGUCAGCAGAUCUAAAAAGAAAUUGGAGCAUGUAUAAGCAUGAACAAGCAAGGUAAGAUCUGUCAGAAUAUGGAUAUAUUAAAGCAAACCACCCCACGGGCAGUCAGAUAAAAACUUAGUGGGAACAAAAAUAAGAAAAAGGAUACCCGAGUUGGAAACGGUUUCCUUAAGUCAGUAUCUUCAUACUUGUUCCCUGAGCAACCAAAUCUCGAGGACGAGAUUUCUUUAAGGGGGUAAGGUUUGUGACACCCUGAUUUUUGGCCCUUUCUUUUUCUUUUGUUUUUCUAAGGUUUUUGCUUGAGUUUUCUUUUUCCGUGGCUUUGUGGUCUGGAAACUGAAGAAGUUGCCCUCUUCAUUGUUUCCAGAGUGGCUUGUCAUUCCCAAACCCUUCCCUAGGCCCUGUCAUUUUCAUCCUAGCCCAAAUCCCAAUAUUCUUUUUAUUGGGAAUAUUCCUUUUCUAUUAAACGAAUAACUCAAAUUUGCCCUAGGUUGUGAAGCAACCUUUAUUUCCAUCACUCCCACAAUUCCCAAAUAAUUCUCAUAAAUUGUUUGGGUCAUAUCUUUCUCAAAUAUGGCAAAAUAUUUCAUUUGUCAUGUUUAUCAUCAUGCUCAAAUAAUUCAUUUCCUAUUCUGCCCUAAAUGUCACAUUGUGAAGCAAGUGCUAUUUUACUUUUCCCAAUUGACCUCAAACUCCUUGGACACCUUUUCCUGUCCAUAUCAUUGCCACAUCCCAAAAUGCAACCUCAUUUGCCUAGUAAUUAUUUAAUUACGAUUUUCCAAAGUUUCUAUCCAGAAAGAAGCUUUGUGAAGGAGGUGCAAGCUAGGCAUAUCCAAAUGAGUUACCAUUUUGCAUGAUCCCUCACAUCAUCAUAUCAUAGCCUUCCACCAGGGUAGAGCUCAUGUCAUGCCUCCAUGUGAGCUCAUCUUCAAUUCUUUGAUUCUGUCAAAAAUUUCAGUUUGUGAAGCAAGUAUAUUUUAUCUUGCUCCAUCAUGGCUGCCAAUUUCUCUAGGCCUUAUAUUAUCCAUAUAACCUACCUCCACCCAUUUUGGGCAUGGGUCAUCAAGCCAUUAUUCCUCUAGAAUUUUUGCAAGUUUCUAUCCAAAGGAGAUGUUUGUGAAGCAAGUACCAGUUUGGCUUGGCCAAUUGGUAUGAGACUUUCUGAGCAUCUUCAUAGGACCAAAUGAAUCUGCCUUGCCCAACUUGAGAUCAGUUUGACACUCCAUGUGAGUGCACCUUCCUGAUCAAGUUUCUGGACCAGAUUAUGCAGUUGCAAAGCAAGUGCAUUAAAUGUUGGUCCAUUUCCUGCCAAACUCCCCAGUAUGGUAGUUCUUCCUAAGCUAAUCACCCCAGACAACUCAUUUGGCUCUAAUCUCACCUCAGUUGAUCACUGUUUCACGGCCAAGUUUACUGCAGUAAACUUCAGAGGUUGACUACCAUUUAACCACUGCGUCUUUAACCAAGUUACCACCUACGUUGUAACCUACCCAGGAAGGACUCCACCCCAGACAUCGUUUGGCAUUGCUUGUGACACUGUGUGCACCAGUGCACGCGGUGACCACCGCUUUGGCAUGUAGUGCGCGCGUCCAGAGCGUCUUCUUGCUCGGGCCCCUCCUCUACUCGGCGUCUCAGCGAGGACGGGCAUGUCCCCUAGCUUCCUCUCGUCGUCGCUGUUCUCCUGGACCCCUCUCCCCCUCCUUCCACUUCCUCACCAACGCAAGCCGAUGCUCGCCCACGGGCGCACUGUGGCGACCGAGCAUUAAUGGCGUCGUGGCUUCUUCCUCUUCUUGUCCCCGAGCUCCGCUCGUCUCUGUGAUCUCUGCGGCUCAUCCGCACCCCCCCCCUCGUCGCGUUCCCGCGCCUCCCCGUGAUCGCUGGCCGUCGCCAGAGCCUCGGCCGGACGUGCCCGGCGACACCCGAGCCCGUGCCCCUCGCCCGCGCCUAUAUAAGGAAGCCCCAACCCCCUCCGAGCUCGUCACCAGCCUUGCCACGCUCCACUACCCCUCCCCAGCCUCUCAUUCAAGCUCGAGAGCUCCUCUUCCCUUUGUUGGCCGCCAUGGCCGUCGCUCCCCUCCGGCUAAAUUAGACCGAAGCCGAGCCCUCCUCCACCUCUAGCCACCACCAUUGCCUUGCCCGCACUCCGGCGACCCUCCUCGUGCCCUUGCCCCCUCGCCGGAGCCUCCCUAGGGCCGUGCCCAGAAGACCGCCACCGCCUCUUCUCCUUUUUGUCGCGUCGCCGCGCGCCCAUGUCGCUCUUCCUCCGACGUCGUUUCUUUCCUGGAUGGAUGCGCCAUGCCCCGCGUGCCCGCCGGUGGUCUCCACUUGGCCGGAGAUCGCCGGAGUCGGCCGCUCCAUCGCCGGCAUUGCCCUGCCUCCCGCUCCUCUGUUUCCCACUGGGGGAGUAGCGAGGAGGAAGAAGACGCCCAGCUGGCCCCCUCCCCCUGCGCACGGGCCCCCUCUGUCAGCUGCUCAAGGCCUGGCCCCGCGCUUGCCAGCAUGGAUAAGUGGAAACGUACUCCUGUGAGUACGCUUUCCCUUAUCGAAGGCGUAUUCCAUUUCUUCUUCGGGCGAGAAUGUGUUUUCCUCUCUGGAAAACGUAUUUUCAGAAAAGGCGCGUUCUGUUUUUCCUACUGAGGGCCUGUUUGUGAUGAUUUUAUUACAGAUAGGUCCCUGGCAGAAAAACAAUUGUAUAUUUUCAACCACAACUCCAAAUGAGGUGAAUCCAACGCUCACUUCUUUGGCUCAUCGAGCCCGUUCUGUUGGUCACACUUUCUCCAUGUGUUAACAUUCUUAAAAUGCCCUUUUUGCCCUUGCACGUAAACAGCCCCUUCGGGAGAGAAUUGUUUCCGGCAAAUCUUUUCGCAGCUACACCGCACUUCUUCCCGGUGCCUUCUUCACCCCCUGGCAAGCCACAAUACCCACUUGCAUGAUAGUCAUGCAGUAGCCAUGGUUUUCAACAUGAAUAUUUAAUAAAUGUUUGCUUGUUUAAAAUAUGGUUAUCGUUGUUCCGGUGCUGCUUAGAGUUUCAUGUUCACUCUCGUGUUAUGUGGUCUUGCACCUGGUUAUCUUGUACUAGUUGCUAGUAUUCCUUUCAUAUGCUUAUGAUUGCUAGUAGUACAUGUUGAUGUUGGUGAUGGCCUUCGGUACAUGACUAACGUCUGUUCCGAGCGUCGUCAUUAUGCAUGUCCCUUUGCAUCCAGUUGGUUAAAUGAUUGCAUGGUAGCAUUGCUGAUAUGUCUUGCAUGAUAUUUAUUGUUGAUGCUAGUGGUCAUGCUAGGUUUCUAUGAGUAGUGUUGUACUUGUGAUAUUCAUGCUCGUCAUUAUACUAUGCUCAGUUGGAUAUGAUUCAUUGUGGAUAUGGUGGAUAGUUAUGUUGUACCCUCAUGAUUACGUUGAUAUCAUGUUCAUGUAUUGCAAUUUGCAUCAUGUUAUUUUAUCAUGGCUCAGCAUAUUGCAUUCAAGUUUAACCGGAUUAAAUUGAACUUGAACACCUGUUGACUGAUUCAUGGUGCCACCAUAUCGAUGCUGACCAGUGCAACCACGCUUACCUUUAUGGGAAGGUCCUAACUGGGUCUAUUGUCGUGCCUCUCGCCGGUGCCUCCAACAAGGGAAGGUUAUGGGCGUGCGGUACCCUGGCCCGAUAAGCAGACAUAACCUUGUGUGCUCGUAGAUGGAUGAUAAGCGCUUUUGUCCCUGUUUGGGACGGGCCACGACGGUGGCCGUUGUGCCUUUGGUAGGCACGGGGCCACCCAGGACUUAGCCCAAAAGGGAGUUGGUCGGAGUGGCCGGGAGAGUGUCAUGGCAGUAGAUCGGUUUUGUCGGAAUGCCGUUGGUCCACCCGAAUGGGAUUACGAGGCCAUGGGUUUCGUGGUGUGGGUACAGUGUACUAACCUCUACAGAGUGUAUAUUAAAUCUAUCGAUAGCCGCACCUGCGGAUAAGGGCCCAGUUCGUGUCGGUCACACUGUGAGUCAACAGUAUUAAUAAUAAUGUGCUCAAUAACAACCCCCGUUCGAUGAGGAGAUAAGUUGGUUGUGAUCGCCGGAAUGAUCACCAUUGAGACCAAGUGUUGGUCAUGGUUGUGAUCGCCGGAAUGAUCACCGUGGUAUCGAGGAUACCGAGUUGUUGGAGAUUCGUGAUGUUGUGCGAGAAUCAUGGGUAAAGAUCAAGCUCCUUGUGGUCAUUUAAUGAUUACUACGGUAUUGUUUAUACCAAGCUUGAUUUGAUCCUGAGAUGAUCGUGUGAUGUCCGAGGUUGGUAAGUGAUGCAUGUGAUGGUUACGAGGUAGCCCGAGCAGAAUAAAUGGUGCAUAUAGUGUCAUCAUGUUUCAUGCUAGUAUCGUCAGAUUUAUAUUCUCAUAUUGUUCUAGGUGUAUCAUAUUGUUGAUGCCAUGUUAUCAUGAUGAGUUCAUGAUAAUUCUUGCUUAACCUGUAAUUGCCAUGCUGUUGUUUGUCUUGAAUGCUUCUAGUUAUUGUGAGCUUGCAAGUACAUUCAAUGUACUGACCUGGCGUGUCAUGCCAGUUUGCAGGUUGUGCCUCGAUUGCUUACUUGUUUGGUGUUGUUCCUGUGUUCGCGAGCUAGGAUAAGCGUUCCAGCCAGAGUCCCUGCAGAUUGGAGUCCAUCAUCGUUGUUCGUUGUUCCUCUGCCAGUAGUUGUUCCGCUGCUUUGAGGAUCUAUGCUGCUUGUAUAGAGAAAGCGUGGUUGGCGUAGUGUCUCCGUGCCGAUGUUAUUCACUGUAAUAUCGGAGACCUUGUAUUCAUAUUCGUGUUGUAAUAGAAAGCUGGUUUGUUCUAUGCUAAGCAGUGUCGUAUUCCAGAAGACUUCUCCUCGAUCUCUCGGCUGGAAUACAGGGCGUUCCGGUUUUCUCUAAGCCGGGGUGCCACACCCCCUUUUUGGUGAUUGGUGACAAACUGGUUGAAGUUUUCAACGGGGAUAAAAGUAUGUGAAAGUUAAGGAUUAAGGCAUUGUCUUCAUAAGUACCAAAAGGCUCCCCCUGAAGAUGUGCAUAUAAGUAGUUUUCUUUUGAAUGCAAAUGCACAUGGCAGGUUUUACUUUGUGGAGAUCCUCUUCAACUUAUGAAGACAAUUCAUCAUGCAUAUAAGGAGAUAAUGAAGAUAAUGACACGCAUAAUGAAAAAUGGACGUCUGCGGAAUGGCUUCAUGCGGGAUUUAUCAUCGCAUCACAAGGUAGCAGAAAAAAGUAGCAGACGACCAUCGAGUUUAAGUGUUACAACUCAAAGAACGAAAUUGUUUCAAAAGACGAGAGUUGUAAAGACUUAGCAAAAAUUAAUGCAACCACCCACAAGGACCCGCUUGAAGACUAUUAAC
rnacentral:lncRNA from 1 species